rnacentral:rRNA from 1 species
AGUGAACGCUGGCGGUAGGCCUAACACAUGCAAGUCGAACGGCAGCACAGUAAGAACUUGCUCUUACGGGUGGCGAGUGGCGGACGGGUGAGGAAUACAUCGGAAUCUACUUUUUCGUGGGGGAUAACGUAGGGAAACUUACGCUAAUACCGCAUACGACCUACGGGUGAAAGCAGGGGAUCUUCGGACCUUGCGCGAUUGAAUGAGCCGAUGUCGGAUUAGCUAGUUGGCGGGGUAAAGGCCCACCAAGGCGACGAUCCGUAGCUGGUCUGAGAGGAUGAUCGGCCACACUGGAACUGAGACACGGUCCAGACUCCUACGGGAGGCAGCAGUGGGGAAUAUUGGACAAUGGGCGCAAGCCUGAUCCAGCCAUACCGCGUGGGUGAAGAAGGCCUUCGGGUUGUAAAGCCCUUUUGUUGGGAAAGAAAAGCAGCAGGUUAAUACCCCGCUGUUCUGACGGUACCCAAAGAAUAAGCACCGGCUAACUUCGUG